rnacentral:rRNA from 1 species
GACGAACGCUGGCGGCGUGCUUAACACAUGCAAGUCGAACGGAAAGGCCCUUCGGGGUACUCGAGUGGCGAACGGGUGAGUAACACGUGGGUGAUCUGCCCUGCACUUUGGGAUAAGCCUGGGAAACUGGGUCUAAUACCGAAUAGGACCGCGCUCUUCAUGGGGUGUGGUGGAAAGCUUUUGCCGUGUGGGAUGGGCCCGCGGCCUAUCAGCUUGUUGGUGGGGUAAUGGCCUACCAAGGCGACGACGGGUAGCCGGCCUGAGAGGGUGACCGGCCACACUGGGACUGAGAUACUGCCCUGACUUCUACGGGAGGCAGCAGUGGGGAAUAUUGCACAAUGGGCGCAAGCCUGAUGCAGCGACGCCGCGUGAGGGAGGACGGCCUUCGGGUUGUAAACCUCUUUCAAUAGGGACGAAGCGCAAGUGACGGUACCUAUAGAAGAAGGACCGGCCAACUACGUGCCAGCAGCCGCCGUAACAC